rnacentral:rRNA from 1 species
UUCGGGAAACCGGAGCUAAUACCGGAUAAUAUAUUGAACCGCAUGGUUCAAUAGUGAAAGACGGUUUUGCUGUCACUUAUAGAUGGAUCCGCGCCGCAUUAGCUAGUUGGUAAGGUAACGGCUUACCAAGGCGACGAUGCGUAGCCGACCUGAGAGGGUGAUCGGCCACACUGGAACUGAGACACGGUCCAG